CAGUAGCCACGGGAAUACGAAGGGUGCAAGCGUUACUCGGAAUUACUGGGCGUAAAGCGUGCGUAGGUGGUGGUUUAAGUCCGUUGUGAAAGCCCUGGGCUCAACCUGGGAAUUGCAGUGGAUACUGGGUCACUAGAGUGUGGUAGAGGAUAGUGGAAUUUCCGGUGUAGCAGUGAAAUGCGUAGAGAUCGGAAGGAACAUCUGUGGCGAAGGCGACUAUCUGGGCCAACACUGACACUGAGGCACGAAAGCGUGGGGAGCAAACAGGAUUAGAUACCCCCGUAGUCCUUGUCUCUUAUAC
rnacentral:rRNA from 1 species